AACGAACGCUGGCGGCAGGCUUAACACAUGCAAGUCGAACGCAUCCUUCGGGGUGAGUGGCAGACGGGUGAGUAACGCGUGGGAACGUGCCCUUCAGUUCGGGAUAACCCAGGGAAACUUGGGCUAAUACCGGAUACGUGCGAGAGCAGAAAGAUUUAUCGCUGAAGGAUCGGCCCGCGUCUGAUUAGCUAGUUGGGGGGGUAAUGGCCCACCAAGGCGACGAGCAGUAGCUGGUCGGAGAGGAUGAUCAGCCACAUUGGGACUGAGACACGGCCCAAACUCCUACGGGAGGCAGCAGUGGGGAAUAUGGGACAGUGGGCGCAAGCCUGAUCCAGCCAUGCCGCGUGAGUGAUGAAGGCCUUAGGGUUGUAAAGCUCUUUCGUCCGGGACGAUAAUGACGGUACCGGAAGAAGAAGCCCCGGCUAACUUCGUGCCAGCCGCCGCAGUAA
rnacentral:rRNA from 1 species